rnacentral:misc_RNA from 1 species
AACGCACAUUGCGCCCUCUGGUAUUCCGGGGGGCAUGCCUGUUCGAGCGUCAUUACGCACCUCAAGCUAUGCUUGGUAUUGGGUGGCCGCCCCCCUGGGGGCGCCCCCGAAAAUUAGCGGCGAAGCAACCGAGUCCUCUAGCGCAGUGACAUUUUUAUAUAUCUCGCUAAGAGUCGUGCCCGGAGGCUUUUGCCGGAACCCAACCAAUUUUUUUAAAAGGUUGACCUCGGAUCAGGUAGGGAUACCCGCUGAACUUAA